UACGGAGGGUGCGAGCGUUGUCCGGAAUCAUUGGGCGUAAAGGGCGCGUAGGCGGUCAGCACAAGUCAGUUGUGAAAUCUCCGGGCUUAACGUCGGAAAGGUCAACUGAUACUGUGCGACUAGAGUGCAGAAGGGGCAACUGGAAUUCUCGGUGUAGCGGUGAAAUGCGUAGAUAUCGUAAGGAAGACCAGUGGCGAAGGCGGGUCUCUGGACAGUUCCUGACGCUGAGGCGCGAAAGCCAGGGGAGCAAACGGG
rnacentral:rRNA from 1 species